AUUUUUGUAAAGUACAAUAAAAUUAAUUACCAGGGAAACUAAAAUUUUAAAAACGGGCUCAGAAAGUACAUUCCCUAAUUUUUUUAUUAUUAGAUUCAAUAGAUAUAAAAUUACCUUGUCCAACUGUUAUAAAAGUUUCUAAAUGCUUACUCUCAAUUUCUGUACUCACCCAGGGAAGAAUGCUAACAAAUAGACUUAGUGGAUACUUUGAGUAGCAUUGUUCUAGAUAACUCUGACCUUUUCUUUCAAGUCUCAGCUGACACAUCACUUCCUCCAGGACGUCUUCCUGACAACCCUCCUCCAACCCGCAUCUGACUGGCUGGUCUCAUAGAAUGCUGUGUGUCCCCCUGUCAGAGCACUCACUAAUCAAGCUGUGUUUCAAAUGAAUCUGUCCCACUGGAUCGAGGGUGCUGCUGCUUACCUCUGAAUGUGUAAGCCCUUGCAAAAGUUCAGGGCUCCAAAGGCAAUAAGGCAUCCACGAUCCCUUCUGCAAGCCAAUUGGUCAAAGGAGGUAACAUUGCCUAGAGCUAUGCUGGGAAGAUCACUCUGUAAUACAAUUCAGGAAAUUUAAUUAACUGGACAGGUCUGGUCCUGACUCCAAUUUCUUUAUCUUCUUAUGGACGACUGGUGAGUAGGGGCUUUGACAGAGGAAUCUGUAUUGCCUGGUCUGGGAAACAAUUCCUUUGAAAAGCUCAUAAAUUGACCUAUGACUAUUAUCAAUGUUCCAGGACUAAACAGAAGACACAGCUACAGACUCCAAUGACAUAUAAACAUAACUCUACGUUAAUUUGAAUGUAAAAGUGCCCAGAAAUCUCUUUGGAGCCAAAUUUUUAUGUACUUUUUGCUCAUCUGUGACAAUUGAUCUUAUAGCUUCUAUUCCGUAAUGGGCAUCAUUCUGUAGUAAUUACGGUGUAUUUCUGCAUAUUAAAAUUUUUUUUUUUUUAAAGAUUGGCACCUGAGCUAAGAUAUGUUUCCAAUCUUCUUUUCCUCCUCCUCCUCUUCUUCUUCUCCUCCCCAAAGCCCCCCAAUACAUAGUUGUAUGUUCUAGUUGUGGGUCCUUCUGGUUGUGCUAUGUGGGUCACUGCCUCAGCAUGGCCUGAUGAGUGGUGCCAUGUCUGUGCCCAGGAUCCCAACUGGCGAAACCCUGGGCCACCGAAGUGGAGUGCAUAUAGUUAACCACUUGGCCACAGGGCCGGCCCCUGC
rnacentral:lncRNA from 1 species